rnacentral:lncRNA from 12 species
UACCUUAAAAAAAAAUUCCAACCGUUUUGUAGGGAAACGAACUUAAAAUGAAUAAGGUGCUUCCUUAACGUCUUCAACAGUCAUUUGAAAGUCAUUUAACUUCUGUCUGUGAUUCAGGGUUAAUCAUUAUCAACAUCAUUUCCAUAGUGAGCUGCAAAGUGACAGGAGGUGAGAGGGCGCCGCCUUGCCUAGGUGUGGCUCCGCCGCUGCCCGGAAGGCCCCGGGCUGCUGGGCUUGGGUCCUUACCGUGGCCCUGUGCAGAUGAUCGGUCUCAUCCGUCUCCCUGCCGUCAGAAUGUCAGCUCAAAGCAGUUUAAUGAUACUUUGAUUUGUUGCUCCUAAUCUGUUGUGAAUUUACCAACCAGAUGCCUGCAUUUGUUAGAAAUGUUCAUAAAAGCAGGGAUUCCGAGUAUGAAUCAUGGAUUUCAACAGCUCCAGGUAGGGGAGGUGUUACUGUAGCUGGUGACCUGUCAGUGACCCUCUUUUAUUUAGUUAUUUAGAUUCUUGUUUUUAACACGGAACUGUUUCUCUUCCUUCCUGCAAUCAUUGUUUAUCGUCAUUCAUAGUCACUUCGGGCUGCUGCUGCUGCUUCUAGAGUCCCACACCCCAUACAACCUUGACCUAGCUCACCUCCUUAGGUGCCACCUGACAAGCAUUUUCUAAGUGCCCCUCUCUGCCCAAGGCCUGGCCAGGCACUCAGUGGAGGGACUGCUAGAGCAGGCCAAGCCGUGGCCCUACCUUCCAGGGACUCACAGUCUGACUCAGGAGGCAAGGUCAACACACAGGAGCAGUUAGGGAACACACAGGAAGGCCAGAAGUAGGGUAGAGGCUGGCUGGCUGUGGCCCCAUAUGGCCAGUAUGUUAGUGCACUGGGUGGUCAGGACCGAAGGCUGCCAGGAGUUUUACGGAGGGCUAUGGGGGGACCUGCAGGACACAUGCCAGACAGCCAAUCCUGGGCAACACUCAGGUUCCAGAGGACCCUGGCAGGACCAGCACCACUGUGCCUGACCCCCACUGGACUUACUGAAUCUCAGCUUUUGGUAUCAGAGCCAGAUGCAUAUGUGGGUGUGAUCCCAAGAGAUCCAGAAAUCCAAACCGUGGCCUGUGAUGGGGGAGCGGCGCAGAAAGCAGGAGCUUAAACCUCCAUCAGAACAGUCCACACUCUACCAGGACAGGACCCAGGGUCCCUGACCCCGUGUGACUCUUCCAGCUGCAGAAAGAAUUUCUGUCACCAGAGUAAAUGCAGCAAAGAUUUAUUGAAGAAAAAAAAUGUCAACAAACCCAGGUCAUCUGAUUCCAAAGCCUGUGUUUUGGGUUGUUGUUGUUGUUUUUUUCAUUAUACCACAAGUACCAAAUUAGGCAGAUCUUUAGUUAUCUAAUAACUAUAAUUAAACUGUUGAAUUAAAAUAAAAGGAUGUAAUUUUAAAGGAAAAUCA